UGGGGAAUAUUGCACAAUGGGCGCAAGCCUGAUGCAGCCAUGCCGCGUGUAUGAAGAAGGCCUUCGGGUUGUAAAGUACUUUCAGCGUGGAGGAAGGGAGUAAAGUUAAUACCUUUGCUCAUUGACGUUACCCGCAGAAGAAGCACCGGCUAACUCCGUGCCAGCAGCCGCGGUAAUACGGAGGGUGCAAGCGUUAAUCGGAAUUACUGGGCGUAAAGCGCACGCAGGCGGUUUGUUAAGUCAGAUGUGAAAUCCCCGGGCUCAACCUGGGAACUGCAUCUGAUACUGGCAAGCUUGAGUCUCGUAGAGGGGGGUAGAAUUCCAGGUGUAGCGGUGAAAAGCGUAGAGAUCUGGAGGAAUACCGGUGGCGAAGGCGGCCCCCUGGACGAAGACUGACGCUCAGGUGCGAAAGCGUGGGGAGCAAACAGG
rnacentral:rRNA from 1 species